UUCAGGCGACUGAGGAGGACAUUACCUAGAGUUGUAGGCUUUGCCUGCUAUCUCUUACCCAUGUCUUUUGAGUACCUUACGUUUCCUCGGUGGGUUCGCCCACCGAUUGGACAAAUUUAAACCCUUUGCAGUUGAAAUCAGCGUCUGAAAAAACUUAAUAGUUACAACUUUCAACAACGGAUCUCUUGGUUCUGGCAUCGAUGAAGAACGCAGCGAAAUGCGAUAAGUAGUGUGAAUUGCAGAAUUCAGUGAAUCAUCGAAUCUUUGAACGCACAUUGCGCCCCUUGGUAUUCCAUGGGGCAUGCCUGUUCGAGCGUCAUUUGUACCUUCAAGCUCUGCUUGGUGUUGGGUGUUUGUCUCCUGUAGACUCGCCUCAAAACAAUUGGCAGCCGGCGUAUUGAUUUCGGAGCGCAGUACAUCUCGCGCUUUGCACUCAUAACGACGACAUCCAAAAGUACAUUUUUACACUCUUGACCUCGGAUCAGGUAGGGAUACCCGCUGAACUUAAGCAUAUCAAUAGGCCGGAGGAA
rnacentral:rRNA from 1 species